rnacentral:lncRNA from 12 species
CCUACUGCUGCCAAUGCUCAGUGCUAAGAACUAAGAAGUCAGGAACAAAUGAUCAUUUCAGACACUCAGUGUUGGAUUCAAGAGACAGAGAAGCUGAGAGGAAAAAUGUGUGUAUAUGGAGAUGGGAGCCCUGCUCAAAGCAGCAGCAGCGAGCUGGCAGUGAAUCCAUUUUUGUUAAUUCCCAG